rnacentral:rRNA from 1 species
CCUACGGGAGGCAGCAGUGAGGAAUAUUGGUCAAUGGACGAGAGUCUGAAUCAGCCAAGUAGCGUGAAGGAUGACUGCCCUAUGGGUUGUAAACUUCUUUUAUAUGGGAAUAAAAUGUUCCACGUGUGGGCUUUUGUAUGUACCAUAUGAAUAAGGAUCGGCUAACUCCGUGCCAGCAGCCGCGGUAAUACGGAGGAUCCGAGCGUUAUCCGGCUUUAUUGGGUUUAAAGGGAGCGUAGGGUGAUUGUUAAGUCAGUUGUGAAAGGUGGCGGCUCAACCCUAAAAUUGCAGUUGAAACUGGCAGUCUGGAGUACAGGAGAGGUGGGCGGAAUUCGUGGUGUAGCGGUGAAAUGCUUAGAUAUCACGAAGAACUCCGAUUGCGAAGGCAGCUCACUGGACUGCAACUGACACUGAGGCUCGAAAGUGUGGGUAUCAAACAGGAUUAGAUACCCCAGUAGUC